AUGCCCAGUCGAUGUGGAAGUCCAGCACUAGCAUAUCACGCACAAGAAAACAACCACCCAUUGAGGAGAGAAAGAGACAUGGCGGACCUGGUUGUUGGGUUGGCCAAGUCAGUGGUGGAGGGGGCAUUGACCAAGGCCCAGGCGGCCAUCGAAGAAGAAGCCAAGCUUCGGCAGAGCGCGCAGCGCAACCUAGUGUUCAUCACCGGCGAGUUUGAAAUGAUGCACUCGUUCCUCAAGGUGGCGGACGAGGAGCGCCUAGAGAACAAGGUGGUGAUAACAUGGGUGAGGCAGAUCCGCGAGCUGGCGUACGAUGUGGAAGACUGCAUCGAGCUCGUCAUCCACCUCGAUAAAAAGAGCAGGUGGUGGUGGCACAUGGUGCCGUCCUGGUGCAUGGCGCUGCCACUGCCGCUUGACGAGGCGGCAAGCGAGAUCGAGCAGCUCAAGGCGAGGGUGGAGGACGUGAGCACCAGGAACGCGCGCUACAAACUCAUCGGCGACACUGGCUCCAAACCCUUCAACGUGCAGCAGGAGCCGGUGGCAUCCGCCGCCGCUGCGACCGCGGCUGACAUGCUCGCCGAGGCAAGGGGCGCCACCAAGAGGCAGCAAAGAGUCAGUGAUCUCACCCGGCUGAUCACCAAGAAGCAGGACAACAAUGGACUCCAUGUGAUAUCGGUUUGGGGUGCAGCCGGCGACCAUGGGACGACAUCCAUCAUCAGGAAGGCCUACAACCACCCAGAUAUAUGCCAAGACUUCCCAUGCCGCUCCUGGGUGAAAAUGAUGCAUCCUUUCAGUCCCCACCAAUUCAUGCGCAACAUGAUGGCUCAGUUUCAUGCAACCUCUUGCAUGGAACAAAGAGCAACCAUAGGCAAGGAUGUCUUUAAGAAGAUGGAGGCCGCUCAGGAAGAUCUCUUCAGUGAGUUCGAGGAGCUAAUCAGAGAUAAGAGGUACCUCAUCGUCUUGGAAGGCCUGUCACACAUGGCAGAUUGGGAUGCUAUCAGAGCAUUCCUUCCUGAGAUGACAAAUGGCAGCUGGAUCAUCGUGUCAACUCAGCAAUCCGAAAUAGCAACCUUGUGCAUUGGUCACUCAUACCAGGUGGUGGAGCUCCGAAAGUUCUCGGACAAGCACUCUGUUUGUGCCCUCUACAAGGCUUCUCAAGGGGAUGGUGAUAAAGACAAGAACCCAAUGGGUUUUGAUGGGGGUGAAGAUAAAGGCAAGAAAAUCAUGUCACUUCAGGAGGAAGCAAAGGAAUGGAAGGACAAGAAUGAUGGCCUUGUUGGACGCGAGUCACAAAUGACUGAACUCGUUAAAUGUUUAACUGAGGCACGUGUCAACUCUCGUCCAGUUAUGUCCGUAUGGGGGAUAGCUCAAGUUGGGAAAUCAGCCCUUGUCAAGAAAUUGUUCUAUGACACAGUGCUUCAGCUUCAGGGUGGCAAGUAUGACGAUUAUUAUUGGGUGGAUAUAUCCCAUCCAUUUAAUAUGAGGGACUUGUAUCUGACCUUACUUUCAGAUUUUCAUUCUGACAAAGAACCUAUUGAAGAGUGUCACCGUCUUCUGAAGAAAGGUUGGUGCCUCAUUGUUAUUGACGAUCUCCGGUCCACAAAGGAUUGGGACAUGAUACAAGCUGCCUUGGUAUCGAAACAUCUUAAGAGCGUUGUCAUUGUCAUUACAACUGAUCGAACCAUCGCCGAAUAUUGCACAAAUAAUAAAGAUCUCGUGUUUAAUGUCAAGGCUCUAGAAGCUGAUGCCGCCUUUCAUCUCUUCAAAAACCAGGUACUUAAGAAGAGUUCACCAUACCCUUUGAAGGAUCCAGAGGCGCGUGUAAAAUAUCUUAUUUCAAAGUGUGGCGGUCUUCCCAAAGUAAUAUCUGCUAUAGCUGUGUUACUGGCCACGAAGACAAACAAAAGGAAGGAAACUAUACAUUCUUUGAAUGAAAGAUUUAUGCAUCAUCUGGAGACCGAUCCUGAGUAUGACAAUCUACAAGAUCUAUUUUCCUGGAUGCAAUCUUACUUCCGUACUUGUCCCGAUGCACUCAAGCCAUGUAUCUUCUACUUGUCCAUUUUUCCUCAAGAUCAAAUCAUUCGGCGGAGGCGACUGGUAAGGCGGUGGAUUGCAGAGGGCUACUCCAGGGAUAGCCAGAAUGAAUCUGCCGAGGAGAAUGGGGAGAAGCACUUCUCUGAACUCCUUGAACUGAGCAUAAUCCAGCAGAGAUCGUCGUCAUCAUCAGUCAACAGCUCUGCAUUCAGUGUGGACAUCGUUAGGAUGGUUAUGUGCCAGGUGAAUGGUUUCAUCCGAGAGUACGUCGUGUCACGGCGUUUGGAAGAGAAUCUGGUGUUUGAACUGGGUGGCAAAUGUGCUCUAACCACCCAACGCACCGGGCGUCACCUUGUCAUAUUGGAUAACUGGGAAAGAGAUGGCAUUGUGUUCGCGACCAUGGAUUUCUCUAGGCUACGGUCACUAACAGUGUUUGGAGUGUGGAAGUCAUUCUUCAUCUGUGAAAGUAUGAAGAUGCUUCGGGUGCUUGAUCUAGAGAAUUCAGAGGCUUUAAAUGAUGGUGAUCUUGACAAGAUACUGGAGUGGUUGCGUCGCCUCAAGUUCCUCUCGUUGCGAGGUCACAGUGAGAUCAAACAUUUACCAGGUUCAUUACAUCAUCUGAGGCAGCUCCAGACACUCGAUGUGAGAGGCACCUCAAUAACCACCCUGCCACGGAAGAUCGCCAAGUUACAAAAACUGCAGUACAUUCGUGCGGGGACCACGGGCUUGAAAUCACCAGUUUCAUCCGGCUGCUGCAGCUGGUUGCCUGAGUUUUGCAGAUGUCGUCGUCCUACAAUCAGUGUUGAGGUGCCCACAGAGAUUGAUGAAGUGAUUGAGUCCACGGGCUUGAAACCACCAGUUUCAUCCGGCUGCUGCAGCUGGUUUCCUCAGUUCUACAGAUGUCAUCGUCCUACAAUCAGUGCUGAGGUGCCCACACAGAUUGGUGAAUUGAUUGAGUCCACGGGCUUGAAACCACCAGUUUCACCCGGCUGCUGCAGCUUGUUGCCUGAGUUCUGCAGAUGUCAUCGUCCUACAAUCAGUGUUGAGGUGCCCACAGAGAUUGGUGAACUGAUUGAGUUGCACACACUUGGUGUUAUCAACAUCACUGCUUCAGGCGCAAAGAAAACUGUGAAAGAGCUCAAGAAGCUCACCCAGCUGCGCAAGCUCGGAGUGUCUGGCAUCAACCGAAAGAACAGCGGCAUGUUUUUCUCUGCAAUCAAAGAUCAUGCCCAUCUGGAGUCCUUGUCAGUUUCACUUGACAAGGACACCACGCGCGGUUGUUGCUUCAUCACAAAGGACAGCAACAGUCAAGGUUGCUGGGAUGACAAGGUCUCCCUGCCUUGUAAAAACCUUCGGAGCCUUAAACUGUAUGGGCUUGAAGAUAAGUUGCCGAAAUGGGAGGGGGAGCAGCCUGUAAAGUUUGGAAAGCUCACAAAGCUGGAGCUGGACAUGGCCUCUUUACCAGAAGAUGUCAUAAGGUUUGUUGGCGGGCUUCCAGAACUAUGUAUUCUUCGUGUUAAGCAGCAUCAAGAUCGUCACCUCAACUUCUGUGUCAUGGUGAAUGGAUUCGAGGAUGAAUCCUAUAAGAAGGUUAAGAUCCUCGAGAUUUCCUGCUCCAGCGGCUUACGUGUGAGUUUUGGAUCAUGGACAAUGAAAAAACUUGAGGUGCUCAAGGUUGACUGCUACGGUGGGUCACCGCCUUACAAGUUCAGUGGCCUGGAAAACCUAGAAGAACUCAAGGAAGUCGUGCUAGUUAAGGGCUCCAACGCCCAAGCACUGAAGCAACAACUCGAUCAGCAGCUUGCCGACGAGCACCCGAAAGAAAAGAAGCCUGUCGUGGAGCUGGAGCUACCAUCACCUUCGUCCUGA
rnacentral:rRNA from 1 species